UGCCAGCCGCCGCGGUAAUACGGAGGGUGCAAGCGUUAAUCGGAAUUACUGGGCGUAAAGAGUACGUAGGCGGCUUUUCAAGUCGGGUGUGAAAUCCCUGAGCUUAACUCAGGAACUGCAUUCGAUACUGGAUCGCGAGAGUAUAUUAGAGGAUAGUGGAAUUUCAAGUGUAGCGGUGAAAGGCGUAGAUAUUUGAAGGAACACCAAUGGCGAAGGCAGCUAUAUGGAAUAAUAUUGACGCUGAGGUACGAAAGCGUGGGGAGCAAACAGGAUUAGAUA
rnacentral:rRNA from 1 species